UUGGAGUCAUGACAUAAUAUGGUAGAAGUUCAUAUACAGGUGCACCGAUCUCCAGAAUAUUAUGUUGGAACUUUUCGUGUUGUAACUAAAUAGUGUCUAUUUUACAAUGACUUUGCAAACACUGGCUAUUUUUGAAUGCCCAGUCAAAAAUUGGCUAGCCCGUGCUAUUUUUAUAAAUUUUCCAUGUACAUGUUAUUAGCAAACAUGCAUUGGAAGAGAAAAACGAGUGUUACACCCCUUUUUACCAACUUCACUAAACCCUCUUAAAUAAAUAAGAAAAGAUUUGUAAAGAUUGAAAAGGGUUUUCAAUUAG
rnacentral:lncRNA from 1 species